GGGGUGGAGGAUGGGGAAGAAAGGCAGCCGGGUGUCAGGCAGAGUGUGUGCAGGGGGGUGGGGAGCCGGUUCCCCAUCACACACCCGGGAGGCCAGACUCCCACCCUGGCCGCCCACCCUUGGCUGACUGCACUUCUCACGACACGUCUGAGCACCAGAGGCCGCAGAGCCCGUGGCAGGCCCGGCCCAGGGCGCUGUCCACCCACCCUGCCCCGCUUCCUGCCAGUGCAGUCACGUCUCUUCCCCCGCGUUGGCCUGCCGUCAGGGCCACGGUUGGAUCCCCGCACGUGGCGCAGUGCCCCUGUCCCCGGGCCUCCACCCCAUCCUGAGUGGACAAACCGGGCUUCACAGCCCACCUUCCCAGCUGCCACCAAUAGCACACAUCCCGGUGGCCCCCAAGGGGGCAAAUGAUGCAAUUUUUGUGGCGAGACACACGGUGUCCCCUAAGGGUCCCCCUGAUGCCGUAUUGAGGCAUGGGGAGGGCAGAGGUCCAUGGUCUGAGAUAGGUUCCUUGGACACCACCCAAGAGAGUUGAGUGUAAGCAUACGGCUCCUUCUACAUCAGCCAAUCCAAUCUACAUCAGGGAGCCUGAACCCUGUGAGCCCCUUUUUCCUUCCAGCUUAGGGAAGCAGCCAGCCCUCCAGCAGCUUUUGCGUCAUGGCUGGGCCACCAAGGGUAAACGUCUGGCUGUCCACAUGCUGGCAGCCUUGGUCUAGCAAAUGUCAACAUGAGCAGCUGCUAUAUGGGGGAUUCUCCUCCAUUGUGAUCAGGGCCUGGGACAAAACAUGACGAGAGAGAGACAGGAGUGCCCUGUGCUCCUGGACAGGGCUGCAUGCACAGAGCAGAUAGCCUGAAGCCUGGGGAGAGGUGGACAAAGAGACAGGUAAGGAGAGAGAAACUGCAUGAGUGAUAGGGGAAUGGGGCAAGACUGAGAGAGUGAAAGGAAGAAACACAGAGAGGUGUGGUUAGAGAGACACAGAGACAAAGAGGAAGUACAAGGAGAAAAGUGGAGACCUGGUCCAGGUAUGUGGACGGGGCAAGAUGGUCCAGGGGAGAGGGGAUGUGUGAAGUGGCUCUGAGUGUUGGGGCAGAAAGGGCUGGUAUCACGGGCAUCAUAGUUUCAUGACUCUAAGACUCCAACAUCCCUGGGGCCAAGCUCUGCAGAGGCCAUUGCAAUUGAAAAGAUGGGCAUCCGUCACUUCUCCCGGAUGUCAGGAGCUCAGCGUUGUGGGGCUCAGCGUUAUGUUCUGUCAUGGAGAAGGAUGUCUUCAGGGAGAGUGUGCUGCUCUUUGGCAGGUCCGGCAGUCUGCACCUGGCAGAGUUGAACGGCUGAUAGUGAUAAAAAGUAUUUGACAAGAAGGUCCGUAUUCUCCCUCUGGAACGAGCGGUGUGCAUCCAAAUCGUGGGUUGCUAUGGUCCUGUCCACAACCAAUCUGAGGAUUCCAGAAGACACUAUUUGAACAAGACAUAUUUUACUGAAGGACUCAUGGAUUGCGGGGUCCCACGACAUCACCUCAUCGAUGCAGUCGAUGGUUUGUUCCGGAUUCAGGCUCGUUUGCGGGAUGAAACCCUGACAGAAAUUCAGAGGAACGGGAAUUGCAUUCCGUUAGGACGUGAAUACAUGAAAUGCUCAUCUCAGGACCUUCUAGAAGAACGAGCUGGCACCCAGUUUCUGCGUCCUGCUGGAACCAGAGACGGAGAUAUUGCCCAGGUGUCUGAAAGCCUGCAUUGAGCUGAGCCUUAAGAGAGAAGUUUGGAAUUCAGUUUUGAGAGUACACAGCCAGUCCAAGAAAGCCUUGUAAUUGGCUCUUAGAUUUAAGUUGUGAGAGAUUGUGGAUGCCUCGAGAGUGCCUGGAUCUAGAUGUGGGCCUUGUUCUGAGAACAGGUGAGCUAAAUACCUAACCUGAGUUUGAGCAAACUGUAGUUUUUCUUUGGAGACUUUAUGGGCAUUUUAAAACCAGAAGUUUUCCCAGGGGGGUGCUGUCUUUGUGUGAAGAGGCACGAGCAGGGGAGUAGAGAAGGAAAUCAUCUACACAUUGUAACAAAGUCGAGCCUGCAGAAACACUUUCCAUCAUCCAAAUCAGCCUUUAAGGUUUGUGGGAAACGUGAAGCACUCUGUGAAACCCAGGGAGGUUGCAGUCCAGAUGUAUUGUCAUUCCCUGCGUGUGACGGUAAAAAGAUACUGACUAUCCUUAUCAACUAGAAUGCUAAAACUACAGCACAUGGGUCGUGUAGAGUGAAAACUUUGCUUUCAGGAAGAGUGGAUGUUGGUAGAGUGUGAGGUUUGGGAAGAAGGAGAUGUCGAGGGAUUACAGCGCUAUUGAUUUCUCGGAAGUCCUGGACAAAAUACCAGCCUCAGCAGUCGGGUUUUCUCACAGGUAUAAUAGAGGUGUUAUCUGGACUACUGCAGGGGAUCAUGAGGCCAUGAGCCUUGUAACAUUCUAUUAUGGUGUGGAUGCCUUGAAGGCCUUCGUAAUUGAAAAGAUAUUAACUCUAGGGAGAAGUUUUGCAAGGUCAAUUUGAAUCUUGACGGGAGGUACACUGUGCAUUCUGCCAAGAUCAGUUGAAGAUUUUGCCCAUAACGAGGAUGGGAGCUGAUCCAAUAGGAAUAAAUGAUCAGUACCUCCAGACUCAGCUUUAGGACCAGCACAGACACGGCACAGAAAAGGUGUCAGAGGAUCAUCUGUUUCCCCUUUUUGCUAUUUAGGUUACUAUUGUCAAAUCGUAGGUCGUGGAUCUCAAGUUCAGAGUAUCUGCACAUUAUUUUAGAAAAUCCUUCAAAGGAUCCCCUUGUUGAAUAGAUUCCGGGUCUCCUGAGGGAGGCACUCAAUCAGUACUAUCUUAAAGUUAGAUCUGUAUUGUAAAAGAGAGGGUAAAUGGUCAAAAUGUCCUUAUGUAAGACUUGUAAGUUAGGUGCCAACCUUCUGGCCCUUAAAGGCACUGAGAAAAGCAAGUUCUUGCAGACUUGCCCUCUGAGGGCUCUUCUAAGGGAAAGCCACCUGUGAGACCCUCAUCCCCUCCGUAUCCAGGAUUGUCAGAGAUGAAAUAUCUUCCCCUCGAAAGGAAGGCACAUUCAAUGUAUCUGUUGACUACAAUGCUUCCUGGUGAAUUUGGUCCCAUGAAGGGUCCAUUUUCGUUGCAAUAUUCUAAGCAAACAAAAGGACCUGAGCACAGUUGCAGACAACCCUGAGCAAUAUAUACAAGUGUUCCAAAACCUAACCCAGGGUGCUGGGGAAACAAAAAGACACAGGCCGUCCCUAACAAAGGGGAAUCUAACACCCUUUUACUGUUUUUCCUAAUACAUUCGGGUUACCAUAACUGUAUGGGGGAGUUACUCCCUCAUUCGUUUCCUGGGUCAACGAUUAUGGUGAUUAGAGCCAGCGGUCUCUUGUUGGUCUCCCUCAGAAUGGAGGCUUUCAGGAAUAUUCCCAAGCCGCUGCCAAAACUCCUUUUAAUCAUUGGAAGUUCUCUGUCUUCUCUGUCCUGACAUGGACUGUCUAAUUCCACUUGUUGCUGGAAAAAAACCUGGCGUCUGCUCAACGGUUCAAGUUGACAGACUUUAGGACCAGGAGACCUCUCUCUCGCUGGCCUCAAGGCUUUUAUCUGCCCUUGGCACCUCAUCAGACUCCACCUGGGAUGAAAACCCCUGACCCCUCCUCCGCCUCACCCCCCCCCUCACUCCCCACAGCCCACAGCAGAGGCCCUGUGGGCUGGUUCUGGCACGAGUCCCCAGAUGCCCCCUCUUAGCAAAUAUCCAUUCAGAAACCUCUGCCCCUGGCCAUACACCCCUGUUUGUCCCUGCCUCACUCAGGACGGGGUCUCCAUUCCCCUGUUGCAACGUCCAACUCUCGAUUCAGCUCGGGUCACGGUCUCGCGGUUAGUGGGAUGGAACCCCACGUCGGCCUCUGGGCGUGUCGGCCUUUGCAGAGCCUGCUUGGGAUUCUCUCUCUCUUUCUGUCUCUCUGCCCCCCACCCCCCUUCAUGCUGUCUCUUUGUCUCCCUCAAAAUGAAUACAUAAACAGUAAAAGUUUUUAAAGAAGAUGUAAUACAACCACGUUAUGGGGAAAAGACCCAACAGACCCUCAAGUUUUGACGUCCUUUUCAUUU